rnacentral:rRNA from 1 species
AUUGAACGCUGGCGGCAUGCCUAACACAUGCAAGUCGAACGGCAGCACGGGCUGCGUCCUCGCGUCGAGUUGGCGACGGGCGGGUGAUUCAUCGGAACAUGCCCAGCAUUUGUGUCUAGGUGGACGACGGCCGGAUUAAUACCACAUUCGACCAUAGGUUGAACGGGGGGGAUCAUCGGACCUCGCGCUCUUGGGGGGUCCGAUGAGAGAUUGGCUAGUUGGUUGGGUAAAGGCCUACCAAGGCGACGAUCCGUAGCUGGUCUGAGAGGAUGACCAGCCACACUGGGACUGAGACACGGUCCAGACUCCUACGGGAGGCAGCAGUGGGGAAUUUUGGACAAUGGGCGAAAGCCUGAUCCAGCAAUGCCGCGUGUGUGAUGAAGGCCUUCGGGUUGUAAAGCACUUUUGUUGGGAAAGAAAAGGAGUGUGCGAAUACCACGGUGUGAUGACGGUACCCGAAGAAUAAGCACCGGCUAACUACGUG